rnacentral:lncRNA from 1 species
GCUGACACCGUUGUACGAGCUGGUCAAGGAAGUGCCCUGUGCCUCUGUGAAAAGACUGUACCUGAAGCGGGCUCUUGAGGAGUACUUAGAUGAAUUUGACCCCUGCCAUUGCCGGCCUUGCCAGAAUGGUGGCAUCGCUAGUGUUGUGGGGACACAGUGCCAGUGUCACUGCAAACCAUACACAUAUGGUAUGGCGUGUGAGCAAGGAGUCCUUGUCGGCGAUCAAGCAGGAGGGGUUGAUGGAGGCUGGAGCUGUUGGUCCUCUUGGAGCCCCUGUGUUCAAGGGAAGAAAUCAAGGAGCCGAGAAUGCAAUAAUCCCCCUCCCAGAGCGGGUGGAAAGGCCUGUAUUGGAGAAACGACUGAAAGCAGGCAGUGCGAAGACCAGGACUUGGAGAACUUGCGAUUACUUGAGCCACAUUGCUUUCAUUUGUCUUUGGUUCCAAAAGGAUUCUGCCCAUCACCCCCUGCCUUAAAAGAUGGAUUUGUUCAAAGUGAAGGUACCAUGUUUCCUAUUGGGAAAAACAUAGUAUAUGCUUGCAAUGAAGGGUAUUCUCUUGUCGGAGAUCCUGUUGCCAGAUGUGGAGAAGACUUACAGUGGCUUGUGGGGGAAAUGCACUGUCAAAAAAUUGCCUGUUUUCUACCUGGAGGGAUGAAUGGCAUGCGGAGUGACCCCCAGAAACCCUUCUACAUGGUUGGUGAGAAGGUGACCCUUUCCUGUGCAGGUGGUAUGUCCUUAGAAGGUCCUUCCACCUUCCUCUGCGGCUCCAGCCUUAAGUGGAGUCCUGAGCUGAAGAGUGCCCAGUGUGUGCAAAAAGUCACCAGCACUCUAACACCAGCAGCUCCUGCAUGUCAGCCCUGGGAGAAACUGAAGAACUCAAAAUGCGUCUGCAAAAUGCCCUAUGAGUGCGGGUAAGCUCUGCCUUUGCCGCUCAGUUUUCUAUUUGAUUUUAUCCAGGGUAAACGGGAGGACCUCGCAGAGCUUGUUGAAUUGAAGGCAUGGCUUCCGGAGAGCUAAGUGUCUUUGCGUCUUAAUCAGGUCCACUGCUGCCCGUUACAGGUCAUAGGCGGACAGCCACGCCACCGUAUUAAGCAGGAUGAUAAUCUGAAGGAGCGAGACACCGAAGGUCCGCUUGAGCACCGCUUGUUCUAUAUAUAACGUGAAGCAAAAAUGACAGAACUGUCACCUGAAGAUUGAGAGCUUUAGAGGAUUAGGCUGAAAUUCCCUAGAGGCAUCAACUUUUAAAAAGCAAUACUAAUAGAUAAUAGAGCAGCCGCCUUUCUGAUGCUAGAAGCGUAUAAUAGAGCAUGCGUUUAUCCACACCCAGGCCCGAAAGAGGGAGAAAGACUAUGAAACAUGAAGACAGAGAGGGCCCCGAGGAGACAACCUCUAAGGAGGAGCAGACUCCCUUUAGGGACUUGAGAGGU